GGGCCUUUAGCUUAGCUUGGUAGAGCACUCGACUGAUAAUCGAGAGGUCGCGAGUUCAAAUCUCGUAGGGCCCA
rnacentral:tRNA from 1 species